rnacentral:rRNA from 1 species
CCUACGGGAGGCAGCAGUGAGGAAUAUUGGUCAAUGGACGAGAGUCUGAACCAGCCAAGUAGCGUGAAGGAUGACUGCCCUAUGGGUUGUAAACUUCUUUUAUAUGGGAAUAAAACGUUCCACGUGUGGGAUUUUGUAUGUACCAUAUGAAUAAGGAUCGGCUAACUCCGUGCCAGCAGCCGCGGUAAUACGGAGGAUCCGAGCGUUAGCCGGAUUUAUUGGGUUUAAAGGGAGCGUAGGUGGAUUGUUAAGUCAGUUGUGAAAGUUUGCGGCUCAACCGUAAAAUUGCAGUUGAAACUGGCAGUCUUGAGUACAGUAGAGGUGGGCGGAAUUCGUGGUGUAGCGGUGAAAUGCUUAGAUAUCACGAAGAACUCCGAUUGCGAAGGCAGUUCACUGGACUGCAACUGACACUGAGGCUCGAAAGUGUGGGUAUCAAACAGGAUUAGAUACCCGUGUAGUC